rnacentral:rRNA from 1 species
CUACGGGCCGCAGCAGUGGGGAAUAUUGCGCAAUGGGCGAAAGCCUGACGCAGCAACGCCGCGUGAGUGAUGAAGGCCUUCGGGUCGUAAAGCUCUAUCGGGAGGGAAGAACACCUUCGGGUCUGACGGUACCUCCCGAGGAAGCACAGGCUAACUCCGUGCCAGCAGCCGCGGUAAUACGGAGUGUGCAAGCGUUGUUCGGAAUUACUGGGCGUAAAGCGCGCGUAGGCGGCUUGAUAAGUCAGAUGUGAAAUCCCUCGGCUUAACCGAGGAACUGCAUUUGAAACUGUCAGGCUUGAGUACGGGAGGGGGAAGCGGAAUUCCCAGUGUAGAGGUGAAAUUCGUAGAUAUUGGGAGGAACACCAGCGGCGAAGGCGGCUUCCUGGACCGAUACUGACGCUGAGGCGCGAAAGCGUGGGGAGCAAACAGGAUUAGAUACCCCUGUAGUC